rnacentral:rRNA from 1 species
UACGUAGGGCGCAAGCGUUGUCCGGAAUUAUUGGGCGUAAAGAGCUCGUAGGCGGUCUGUCACGUCGGAUGUGAAAGCCCGGGGCUUAACCCCGGGUCUGCAUUCGAUACGGGCAGACUAGAGUGUGGUAGGGGAGAUCGGAAUUCCUGGUGUAGCGGUGAAAUGCGCAGAUAUCAGGAGGAACACCGGUGGCGAAGGCGGGUCUCUGGGCCGUAACUGACGCUGAGGAGCGAAAGCAUGGGGAGCGAACAGG